GGUAUUAAUUUUUUGGAGGAAACGUCAAGGUUUUCUGCUAUCCGCGCACGCUUCUACACCCCCUCCCCCAGGACCUUCUCUAUCAGAAAACAGUUUUCUGCAGAAACUAUGCUUUUUUAUCGGGAAAAUUUUUACUUUUCUCAAAAAAAUACUUUAGAAACACGGAAACCUUAAAUAUUUAAAUAAUUUUUAUACCUUUUCGGGAUUGCAAAAAGCAAAAUUUGAUUCAUUAUCACACUUUUUAAAAUAUAUGUGACAAAGUUGCUUCGAAAUCACUAUCACGCAGUAGCAUGUUUAUUUACCCUCAUCCUUUU